GACGUAGGGCGCGAGCGUUGUCCGGAUUUAUUGGGCGUAAAGAGCUCGUAGGCGGCUUGUCACGUCGAUUGUGAAAGCCCGAGGCUUAACCUCGGGUCUGCAGUCGAUACGGGCUAGCUAGAGUGUGGUAGGGGAGAUCGGAAUUCCUGGUGUAGCGGUGAAAUGCGUAGAUAUCAGGAGGAACACCGGUGGUGUAGACGGCUUACUGGACCACGACUGACACUGAGGCACGAAAGCGUGGGUAGCAAACAGG
rnacentral:rRNA from 1 species